rnacentral:rRNA from 1 species
GGUCAGGAUGAACGCUAGCGACAGGCUUAACACAUGCAAGUCGAGGGGCAGCACGGGAGUAGCAAUACAACUGGUGGCGACCGGCGCACGGGUGAGUAACGCGUAUGCAACCUACCUAUCGAGAGGGGAAUAACCCGGCGAAAGUCGGACUAAUACCGCAUAAAACAGGGGCACCGCAUGGUGAUAUUUGUUAAAGAAAUUCGCUGAUAGAUGGGCAUGCGUUCCAUUAGGUAGUUGGUGAGGUAACGGCUCACCAAGCCGACGAUGGAUAGGGGAACUGAGAGGUUGGUCCCCCACACUGGUACUGAGACACGGACCAGACUCCUACGGGAGGCAGCAGUGAGGAAUAUUGGUCAAUGGGCGAGAGCCUGAACCAGCCAAGUCGCGUGAAGGAAGAAGGAUCUAUGGUUCGUAAACUUCUUUUGCAGGGGAAUAAAGUGCGGGACGUGUCCUGUUUUGUAUGUACCCUGAGAAUAAGGAUCGGCUAACUCCGUGCCAGCAGCUGC